UACGUAGGGGGCUAGCGUUGUCCGGAUUUAUUGGGCGUAAAGAGCGUGUAGGCGCCAGGUAGGUCUGCUGUGAAAACUCGAGGCUCAACCUCGAGACGUCGGCGGAAACCAUCUGGCUAGAGUCCGGAAGAGGAGAGUGGAAUUCCUGGUGUAGCGGUGAAAUGCGCAGAUAUCAGGAAGAACACCCGUGGCGAAGGCGGCUCUCUGGGACGGUACUGACGCUGAGACGCG
rnacentral:rRNA from 1 species